UGCCGGGUCGUCUAACGGUAGGACCAUGGAUUCUGGAUCCAUGUAUCUUGGUUCGAAUCCAAGCCCGGCAG
rnacentral:tRNA from 1 species